UACCGGCAGCACGAGUGAUGGCCGCUAUUAUUGGGCCUAAAGCGUCCGUAGCCGGCCGAGCAAGUUCGUCGGGAAAUCUGCCCGCUUAACGGGCAGGCGUCCGGCGAAAACUGUUCGGCUUGGGGCCGGGAGAUCCAAGGGGUACGUCCGGGGUAGGAGUGAAAUCCCGUAAUCCUGGACGGACCACCGAUGGCGAAAGCACCUUGGAAAAACGGACCCGACGGUGAGGGACGAAAGCUAGGGUCUCGAACCGG
rnacentral:rRNA from 1 species